AAAUAAGAAGCGAAAUAUUGCAUUCAGUUUCGACCUGAACAUUUUGAUGUUAAUACAUCCUUAUUUA
rnacentral:tRNA from 1 species